GUCUGUCAUGCGAUAUUCGGCUAAAGUGAAAGUAGGAGUUGAAUGCCUUGUUUCACUAAAAAGAACAUUGCUCAGAUAUUUUCUCUGGACUACCAAUUUCUGUACUUCAUGUGAUGCCGUGUUGGAGCCCUCCCAAGAACCUCCCUUGUAGGUGUUCUAUAAUAAGAUUUCAAAUUAAAAGAGGAAAUGGUUCUAAUGACAGAGGCUUUGUCCAUGUUGGUUUGUCUCAAUCUUUUGGAAAACAGUGUUGCAGAAAAUAUCAGCAACAUAUGAAGACUCUGAUUUAGUUUAUUACAAUGUGACUUGAAAGUUAUAUCUGAUUUCAUGGUAGUAUUUACACAUGUGUUGAACGUUCCGAACAUCAUUGAAAAAGAUUAUAUGAUGACAAUAAACAAAAAUACAUAUAUGAACUUUCCACAAGUUUCCAAUGAAGAACAUUUUGGGAUCUUGGUAAAGGAUAUUGUAAUUAAAAUUUUUACCU